AAACCAUGGUGGGGACAUCUCAAAAUUAGGUCCUUAAAUCUCUCCAAACUCUCAUAAAAUCUUUCAUUGUCUUCUUAAUAAAAAUUAGCAAUCUCUCUCCUCAAAGUAU